UGUCACGCCAGUGGCAUUGCCGGGUAGCUAUGUUCGGAAUAGAUAACCGCUGAAAGCAUCUAAGCGGGAAACUAGCCUCAAGAUGAGAUCUCACUGGAACCUUGAGUUCCCUGAAGGGCCGUCGAAGACUACGACGUUGAUAGGUGGGGUGUGUAAGCGCUGUGAGGCGUUGAGCUAACCCAUACUAAUUGCCCGUGAGGCUUGACCAUAUAACACCCAAGCA
rnacentral:rRNA from 1 species